GGAGACAGGCGAGAAGCUUCCUCCGGUGGCCGUGGUGCAGCCGGUGCUGGUACCUCUGCUGCCGCGUGAAGUCACAGCCUCACGCGGUCCUGCCCUUCGAACAUGCUGACCGAAAGGCCCGCGUUGCACGGACAGGAUGGAGGAGCGGAUGGAUGGCGACCAGCGCUGUGAGGAGGAGGCUGGGCCACGGGAUGUAGUACCGCACUCUCUCCUCCGGGCUGUCGGAACGGGAGAUGGCGAGCAUAUAGCAUGGAUAGUCUUUCCAAAAUCAAUUAACCAAUUAAUUAAUUUACCGUGUUAAGUUGUUACUUGGUACAAUCUGUGUAAAAUGAUGAGUGUUUUGUCUCUGAAAUAACCCGAAGAUAAAGGGUUAAGUGAAGGGCUACAUAAAUGUGAUGAAAACCCAGAGUGCAAAUAUAAAGUAUGACUAAAUUCUAACAUUUUUCAAGAUAAUCACUCAAGCAAAUCACAUAUUCACACUACUGACUUUGGUAAAUGAAGCAUGAGCCCAGUUUGACCCACCACACCUGUCUGUUUAGGGGUUUAUAAUAAAAUGGGGUGGAAUCCAA